rnacentral:rRNA from 1 species
AAGUCGAACGAGCGAGAGAGAGCUUGCUUUCUCAAGCGAGUGGCGAACGGGUGAGUAACGCGUGAGGAACCUGCCUCAAAGAGGGGGACAACAGUUGGAAACGACUGCUAAUACCGCAUAAGCCCACGACCCGGCAUCGGGUAGAGGGAAAAGGAGCAAUCCGCUUUGAGAUGGCCUCGCGUCCGAUUAGCUAGUUGGUGAGGUAAUGGCCCACCAAGGCGACGAUCGGUAGCCGGACUGAGAGGUUGAACGGCCACAUUGGGACUGAGACACGGCCCAGACUCCUACGGGAGGCAGCAGUGGGGAAUAUUGCACAAUGGGGGAAACCCUGAUGCAGCGACGCCGCGUGGAGGAAGAAGGUCUUCGGAUUGUAAACUCCUGUUGUUGAGGAAGAUAAUGACGGUACUCAACAAGGAAGUGACGGCUAACUACGUGCCAGCAGCCGCGGUAAAACGUAGGUCACAAGCGUUGUCCGGAAUUACUGGGUGUAAAGGGAGCGCAGGCGGGAAGA